rnacentral:rRNA from 1 species
GACAGAGGUGCCGAGCGUUAGGCGGAAUCACUGGGCUUAAAGCGUGUGUAGGCGGGUCGUUAAGUGCCUUGUGAAAUCCCACGGCUCAACCGUGGAACUGCUGGGCAUACUGGCGAUCUUGGGCAGCCUAGGGGCGAGCGGAACAAACGGUGGAGCGGUGAAAUGCGUAGAUAUCGUUUGGAACGCCGAUGGUGAAAACAGCUCGCUGGGGGCUCGCCGACGCUGAGACACGAAAGCCAGGGGAGCAAACGGG